GGCGGGGCUUGGGAGCCGCGAGGGUGCGGGCUGCGCCGCCACCGCUGCCGCCGCUGCCAACCGGGCAGGUGCACGAGCCCGCCGCAAGGCUGUCUGCGCCCGGCUGCUGCGGCUGAACCUCCGGUGCCCGCUCUGACCCGUGACUGUGAGUCCUCAGACUCACUCCAGAGGCAGGUGUCCAGUAACCCCGAUUCAUGCAGGCCUCACCCAGAUACCCUGAGGCUCCCAGAGGGACACAGUCCAAGAAAUCCAAGAAACCUGCAUUCACCCACAAGCACCCACAAGGAUGUAUUCGCUCGGCAAGAGAGAUCUCGGACUCCCUCACACUCGGGGACAGAGGGACACCUGGACAAACACCUUCACGGAUACCUGAACAGACAGACACUCUAUAGACACACAGUGACUCUUUCUGACAUAGGAGCAGAUAUACCCACUGGCAACUUCAGAGGGUACACAGAGACCUGCAGAGUCACAGGGAGCAACAGGCGGGCAGGACAUGUCCUCCCACAUAUUGGAGACCCUCAGACCCCACAAACCCCACAGAAGUUUGGACAGACACACACCUUUUCGUGCACCCACACUUGCUUGCAGACAUAUCCUGGGAGUCUCUCACAGAGAGGGAACAUUAGCACCCCUCCUCCUGUAGUGAUCUGUCCCCAAAACUGGGACAGUCACCCUCAGAACACUCAUACCUAUAGACACAGCCGUACAGACUGAGUCACUCACAGGGAUGGAUUCAUUCUGGUGCACAGACACCCUCAGACUCAAGAUCCUGAGACAUUGCUGCAGGCUUACACUGGCACACACUCUCAGACACAUCCUGAUGCCCAUGGUCCCCCGAUUCACACCCAUAGGGACAGAUUAUCAGAGCCUGGGUAUAAAGAGAUACACUCAAUUGCAAACCUCCUCUGCCCUCCAAACCUGAAUGACCAGAGGUCCACUCUACCAGCAGAAGCAGCAAUCCUUUCUAAUUGCUCUCCCCCUCCCGUGAAGCAGCCCUCUGAAAUGGCCUCAGGAAAGGACUGCUCAGUCCCUCCUUUCCGAGGGACCUAGAGGGAGCCCCUCCAUCUCACUAACCUACUUCUUCAUCGGAGCGAUGACAGCAGGAACCCUCUGUUUUGGAUGGUUAAGAGCAAGAGCACGGCGGUGGUCGGAGUCAGGUGUUGGUUCUGCAAUCAUGAGGAGACCACAGGAGAGCAGCAAGGCACCCAAGCUGAUAUCCUCGAGGGCGGAGACAGUGUUCCUUAAUUAGAACAUUGCCCUAUGUGAAGAUGUCCCAUCUCCUUGGUCUCCUCUGACCUAUGAGCCGUCUCAGUUUUCUUGGCUUCCGGGCCUUGACACUUUUGAAGAGUAGCGGUCAGAUCUUUUCUAGAGCGUCUCUAAGUUUGGCGUGUCAGACGUUUGGACUGAGUCUACACAGGAGCCACGGGAUGCCCUCAUCGCCUGACACAAGACAAUGAGCCGUGCCAACUGAGCUCUUUGCUGGCCACAUAUUUGUUCUCUAACUUUUCUGCUUUUCCAUAUUGCUU